rnacentral:rRNA from 1 species
UACGAAGGUGGCGAGCGUUGUUCGGAAUCACUGGGCUUAAAGAGCACGUAGGCGGUUGGUCAAGCAUCUUGUGAAAUCCCUCGGCUCAACCGAGGAAUUGUUGGGUGAACUGGCCGACUUGAGUUGCAUAGGAGCGACUGGAACUCUAGGUGGAGCGGUGAAAUGCGUAGAUAUCUAGAGGAACGCCAGAGGUGAAAACGGGUCGCUAGGUGCAUACUGACGCUGAGGUGCGAAAGCGUGGGGAGCGAACGGGAUUAGAUACCCCCGUA